rnacentral:rRNA from 1 species
UUAAGCAUAUCACUAAGCGGAGGAAAAGAAACUAACCAGGAUUCCCUUAGUAACGGCGAGUGAACAGGGAAAAGCCCAGCACCGAAGCCUGUGGUCAUUUGGUCACUAGGCAAUGUGGUGUUCAGGUCGAAUUUUGGAAGUGCUGCUCCUCUCCAAGUCCGGCAAUGAGUACGGUAUUUUGGACACGGCCCACAGAGGGUGAAAGGCCCGUGGGGGAGGAGAUCAUGCUGGACAGUGCUUCCCUAAUCUGACCUUGGAGUCGGGUUGUUUGAGAAUGCAGCCCAAAGUGGGUGGUAAACUCCAUCCAAGGCUAAAUACAUACACGAGUCCGAUAGCGAACAAGUACCGUGAGGGAAAGUUGAAAAGUACUUUGAAGAGAGAGUAAACAGUGCGUGAAACCGCUCAGAGGUAAACGGGUGGAGUUGAACUGCGUGCUUUGAGGAUUCAGCUGGUGACUGUAUUAUGUCAUGGGCAUUUUGAUUGGACUGCGGGGUCUGCGUAGCAGCAGGUUGUUACCUUCGGGUAAUGAUGCGCGAUUCACUUAUCAAGUGAUGUGCGCCCUGUUUGUUCUUCGAAUCGGUUGCCAGUGCACUUUCUCAAAGCGUUCACCACGACCGACACUGCUGCCUGGCUGUUGGAGUUAAACCGCUUUGAUGUUAUCCUUGUGAUUUCGUCAAAUCGGGAUGGCAGGUAGCUCGUUGGCUUGCUUGUAGUUCGCUGCAGGUUUGCUUUCGAGUGUAAUCAGCUGACUUCAAUGGUUCUGUGCAGUGUGUUGGAGACAGCGGCUUGUGAUGUGUGCAUGUGUGGUUGUUUACUGGCGAUGUCGGGUUUGGUUGCUAUGUUGCUUGGUAAAUCAAGCCUAGUGAUAGCUCGAUAUCGUUCGGUGAGCUGCUGCGUGUGUGACAUCAAUACAGGGCCGAUAGUCUGUGGUGUUGUGGUAGACUAUCCACCUGACCCGUCUUGAAACACGGACCAAGGAGAGUAACAUGUGCGCGAGUCAUUGGGCGUAACGAAACCCAAAGGCGCAGUGAAAGUAAAGAUCUGGCUUGUCCAGGUUGAGGUGAGAUCUCGUCGUUUCUCAUACAUGGUGCCACCAAAUAAAGAGCGAUGAGCGCAUCACCGGCCCGUCCCAUGACGUAGACGGGAUCUUCUGAUCCACGCACCGUCGGGGCGGAGCAUGAGCGUACAUGUUGAGACCCGAA